GACGAACCGAGCGAACGUUAUUCGGAAUCACUGGGCUUAAAGGGCGCGUAGGCGGCCCUGGUAAGUCUGCGGUGAAAGCCCGGGGCUCAACCCCGGGUCGGCCGCGGGUACUGCCGGGCUGGAGUGCCGUAGGGGCAGGCGGAAUUCCGGGUGUAGCGGUGGAAUGCGUAGAGAUCCGGAAGAACACCGGUGGCGAAGGCGGCCUGCUGGGCGGCGACUGACGCUGAGGCGCGACAGCGUGGGGAGCAAACAGG
rnacentral:rRNA from 1 species